rnacentral:rRNA from 1 species
UACGUAGGGUGCGAGCGUUGUCCGGAAUUAUUGGGCGUAAAGAGCUCGUAGGCGGCUUGUCGCGUCGGAUGUGAAAGCCCGGGGCUUAACUCCGGGUCUGCAUUCGAUACGGGCAGGCUAGAGUUCGGUAGGGGAGAUCGGAAUUCCCGGUGUAGCGGUGAAAUGCGCAGAGAUCGGGAGGAACACCCGUAGCGAAGGCGGCACUCUGGGCCGGUACUGACGCUGAGACGCGAAAGCGUGGGGAGCGAACAGG